AAAAAAUACUUAAAAUUUAUUGGAGUUUUAUAAUUACCUCCACAAAACUAGCUAGUUACGAUCAAAUUCAACACUCUCUUUAAUCCAUUAAUACAUCUUUCUUCUCUUCUUCCCCCAUUCUUCUUUAAAAUAAGGCAAAAUCACCUUUUGGACUCUAUAUUAUGUCAGUUCCGUAAGUUGGACACUUCUAUUUACAUGUUUGUCAUCUGGACCCUUGAACCCACUAAAAAACAACAUUUUAAAUACUUUUUUAACUUAUGUGGCAUUAAAAUGCUGAGGUGGACUACGCGUGAUCACACGCGAUUUUUUGGGCCCGUAAUUAAAUUAUUUUUUAUAAUAUUUAAAUAAUUUUACAAAUAGUAAAUUAAAAAAAAAAAUCUCAANNNNNNNNNNNNNNNNNNNNNNNNNNNNNNNNNNNNNNUCAGCCCCCGCCGUCUCCCACGCCACCCCAACCCGUCCACCAGCUUCCCCCAUCUCCCACCUUCUCCAACACCCCCACGCCGUCAACCACUUUCCCCAUUCCCACGUCGUCCACCACCAUCAACCCAUCCCCACACCAUCCAAAACCAUCAAUUUCUCCGUUCAUCUGUCACCAUCAAUUUCUCCGUUCAGCCAAAACAAUAAUUUCUCCACCAAUUUCUCCGUUCACCUGUCAUCACCACCAUGAACACCCCAAAACCAUCCCAGCCCCGUCCAGGAUCCCCACCCACUCCAGCCCCGUCUAGCUCCCCAUUCCCACACCGUCCACCACCGUCAACCUGUCCCCACACCAUCCAAAACCAUCAAUUUCUCCGUUCACCUGCCACCACCAAUUUCUCCGUUUAUCCAAAACAACAAUUUCUCCACCAAUUUCUCCGUUCACCUGCCACCACCAUGAACACCCCAAAACCACCCCAGCCCCGUCCAGGCCCCCCACCCAACCCCAGCCCCUAACCCAACCCCAACCCCGUUCAGAAAUUUCUAACCAACAACCCACCAUUUCUUUCAACCAUCAUCACUUUUAAUCAAUUAAAUUCGAAUCAAUUCAAACCAAACACCAUGGAAUCAAUUAAAAAAAACCUCAAAUUUCGAUUGGAUUCAAAUUUUACGAGGGAAUCAAAUUUUGCUAACAAAAUCAUCAUCAAAAAUCAGAUUCUGAAAUCAGAUUUCAAUUUCAAUUGCAUUUCAAUCAUCACUGUCUAAUUACCUCUUCAAAAAUCACAAUUUUGGAUCAUAAAAAAUCAUCAUUCUUAAAUGGCCACUGUAAAGUUGGAAAAGGAGGAUCAAAUAUUCUUAACGAACACAAUAUUUUUUAAUAAGAAAAAGAAGAAGAAAAAGAAGAAAUAGAGAAUUGCC
rnacentral:lncRNA from 1 species